rnacentral:rRNA from 1 species
AUUGAACGCUGGCGGCAGGCCUAACACAUGCAAGUCGAGCGGAUGAAGGGAGCUUGCUCCUGGAUUCAGCGGCGGACGGGUGAGUAAUGCCUAGGAAUCUGCCUGGUAGUGGGGGAUAACGUCCGGAAACGGGCGCUAAUACCGCAUACGUCCUGAGGGAGAAAGUGGGGGAUCUUCGGACCUCACGCUAUCAGAUGAGCCUAGGUCGGAUGAGCUAGUUGGUGGGGUAAAGGCCUACCAAGGCGACGAUCCGUAACUGGUCUGAGAGGAUGAUCAGUCACACUGGAACGGAGACACGGUCCAGACUCCUACGGGAGGAAGCAGUGGGGAAUAUUGGACAAUGGGCGAAAGCCUGAGCCAGCCAUGCCGCGGGGGUGAAGAAGGGCUUCGGAUUGUAAAGCACGUUAAGUGGGGAGGAAGGGCAGUAAGUUAAUACCUUGCUGUUUUGACGUUACCAACAGAAUAGGCACCGGCUAACUUCGU